CGUGUUGCGCUUUGGACCUUCUUUUAAUUUCAAUGGUUUAUUUUUUUAAGUAUCCCUUUUAGUUUAAUUUUAUUUUAAUUGAGUCUUUUUAAUCGGUAUAAUUUACUUUCUAGUCCACUUAACAUUCAUUUUUUUAAAAUUUUUUUUAUAUAUAUACAUUUUAAAUUAUUUUGAUAAUUUUACUUUGUUUUGUUAUUUUUGUCUAAAGUAUAUAAUCGUUAUU
rnacentral:lncRNA from 1 species